UACAAGUGCUUCGCUGGUUCACACCGGGU
rnacentral:piRNA from 1 species